AUGCUGCUCACUGUCGUUUUGGUUGUUUUUCUGUUUUUUGUUGUUACGAAAAAGGGAGGUGGAAAGUCAGUGCCAAAUGCAUGGCAAUCCUUGGUCGAGCUUAUUUAUGAUUUCGUGCUGAACCUGGUAAACGAACAAAUAGGUGGUCUUUCUGGAAAUGUGAAACAAAAGUUUUUCCCUCGCAUCUUGGUCACUUUUACUUUUUCGUUAUUUCGUAAUCCCCAGGGAAAUCUUGGUCCCUUAUUUAUAGUUCUAGCAUUAACCGGUCUAGAAUUAGGUGUAGCUAUAUCACAAGCUCAUGUUUCUACGAUCUCAAUAUGUAUUUACUUGAAUGAUGCUACAAAUCUCCAUCAAAAUGAUUGA
rnacentral:rRNA from 1 species